rnacentral:rRNA from 1 species
CGAAGUCGGAAUUGCUAGUAAUGGCAGGUCAGCAUACUGCCGUGAAUACGUUCCCGGGCCUUGUACACACCGCCCGUCACACCAUGAGAGUUAGGAAUACCCGAAGCCUGUGAGCCAACUUUAUAAGAGGCAGCAGUCGAAGGUAGAACUAAUGAUUGGGGUGAAGUCGUAACAAGGUAAC